rnacentral:sRNA from 12 species
UGUGGCCAGACAAAGUAACCGCUGGGCGAAAUCAGUGCAAUACAGAAGGGGAACAGGACCGUCCCGCAUAUAUUGCGGGUAAAUAUAACCCCCGAUGCGGCGGCCCGGACGCUGCUUGCAUGGGCGGCGAAUGUGCGAUAGCCGCUUUCAUGGGCCUGUCCUUUGCAGUCGAGAACGCACUCCAUACCAGACUGUACGGGGGUUUUCACCUUGGAGGAUAAAUG